CAGCAGCCGCGGUAAUACGAAGGGUGCAAGCGUUAAUCGGAAUUACUGGGCGUAAAGCGUGCGUAGGCGGUGAGUUAAGUCUGCUGUGAAAUCCCCGGGCUCAACCUGGGAAUGGCAGUGGAUACUGGCAAGCUAGAGUGUGUCAGAGGAUGGUGGAAUUCCCGGUGUAGCGGUGAAAUGCGUAGAGAUCGGGAGGAACAUCAGUGGCGAAGGCGGCCAUCUGGGACAACACUGACGCUGAGGCACGAAAGCGUGGGGAGCAAACAGGAUUAGAGACCCCGGUAGUCCCUGUCUCUUAUAC
rnacentral:rRNA from 1 species